rnacentral:lncRNA from 1 species
CACAUGCAUACUCAACCACAGCACAGACUCACAUGCAUACUCAACCACAGACUCACAUGCAUACUCAACCACAGCACAGACUCACAUACUCACAGACUCACAUGCAUACUCAAACACAGCACAGACACACAUGCAUACUCAACCACAGCACAGACUCACAGACUCACAGACUCACAUGCAUACUCAAACACAGCACAGACACACAUGCAUACUCAACCACAGACUCACAUGCAUACUCAACCUCAACACAGACACACAUGCAUUCUCAACCUCAUCACACACUCACAGAAUCACAUGCAUACUCAACCACAGCACAGACACACAGACUCACAUGCAUACUCAACCACAGCACAGACUCACAUGCAUACUCAACCACAGCACAGACUCACAUGCAUACUCAACCACAGCACAGACUCACAUGCAUACUCAACCACAGACUCACAUGCAUACUCAACCACAGACUCACAUGCAUACUCAACCACAGCACAGACGCACAUGCAUACUCAACCACAGCACAGACACACAGACUCACAUGCAUACUCAACCACAGCACAGACUCACAUGCAUACUCAACCACAGCACAGACACACAGACUCACAUGCAUACUCAACCACAGACUCACAUGCAUACUCAACCACAGCACAGACUCACAUGCAUACUCAACCACAGCACAGACACACAGACUCACAGGCAUACUCAACCACAGACUCACACGCAUACUCAACCACAGCACAGACUCACAUGCAUACUCAACCACAGACUCACAGACUCACAUGCAUACUCAACCACAGCACAGACACACAGACUCACACGCAUACUCAACCACAGCACAGACACACAGACUCACACGCAUACUCAACCACAGCACAGACUCACAUGCAUACUCAACCACAGCACAGACUCACAUGCAUACUCAACCACAGCACAGACACACACGCAUACUCAACCACAGCACAGACUCACAGACUCACAUGCAUACUCAACCACAGCACAGACACACACGCAUACUCAACCACAGCUCAGACUCACACGCAUACUCAACAUCAACUCC